UAACUCUUGGUGUAAGAAGAGCGAG
rnacentral:piRNA from 1 species